UUUUUAAUCAUCGAGAUCUUCGGUCCGGAUGAUUUGCAGUUUGUUGGCUUCGCUCAACUUGCCCAUGGAUAAGGAGUGCCAUUGGGCCACUAUCAUUGUGCCUCCACUCGACUUGCUCAUAGGCAAGAAGCCCAUUGGGCCGCUGUCGUCGUGGCCUCUACUCGACUUGCCCAUGGGCAAGGAGUGCCAAUGGGCUGCUGUCAUCGUGGCCUCCACUCGACCAACUAUCACCAUCCUGCAGUCAUCGCUAAGCUCCAGCC
rnacentral:lncRNA from 1 species